rnacentral:pre_miRNA from 1 species
GCUGCUGUGGCAUCAUCAAGAUUCACAUCUCUGUUGAUGGACGGUGGUGAUUCACUCGAUCCCCAAAUUUGUCUCUGUGAAAAAUGAGAAUCUUGAUGAUGCUGCAUCGGC